UAAUACAUGCAAGUAGAACGCAGAGGUCAGGUGCUUGCACUGGACUGAUGAGUUGCGAACGGGUGAGUAACGCGUAGGUAACCUACCUGAUAGCGGGGGAUAACUAUUGGAAACGAUAGCUAAUACCGCAUAAAAGCCAAUGACCCAUGUCAUUGGCUUGAAAGAAGCAAACGCUUCACUAUGAGAUGGACCUGCGUUGUAUUAGCUAGUUGGUAGGGUAAAGGCCUACCAAGGCGACGAUACAUAGCCGACCUGAGAGGGUGAACGGCCACACUGGGACUGAGACACGGCCCAGACUCCUACGGGAGGCAGCAGUAGGGAAUCUUCGGCAAUGGGGGGAACCCUGACCGAGCAACGCCGCGUGAGUGAAGAAGGUUUUCGGAUCGUAAAGCUCUGUUGUUAGAGAAGAACAGUGAUGGGAGUGGAAAGUCCAUCAUUUGACGGUAACUAACCAGAAAGGGACGGCUAACUACGUGCCAGCAGCCGCGGUAAUACGUAGGUCCCGAGCGUUGUCCGGAUUUAUUGGGCGUAAAGCGAGCGCAGGCGGUUUGAUAAGUCUGAAGUUAAAGGCAGUGGCUUAACCAUUGUAUGCUUUGGAAACUGUUAAACUUGAGUGCAGAAGGGGAGAGUGGAAUUCCAUGUGUAGCGGUGAAAUGCGUAGAUAUAUGGAGGAACACCGGUGGCGAAAGCGGCUCUCUGGUCUGUAACUGACGCUGAGGCUCGAAAGCGUGGGGAGCAAACAGGAUUAGAUACCCUGGUAGUCCACGCCGUAAACGCUGAGUGCUAGGUGUUAGGCCCUUUCCGGGGCUUAGUGCCGUA
rnacentral:rRNA from 1 species